GGAGCUUCCCCGGUUGAUGUUUGCGGCGGACGGGUGAAUAACACGUGGGUAACCUACCUAUAAGACUGGGAUAACUUCGGGAAACCGGAGCUAAUACCGGAUAAUAUUUCGAACCGCAUGGUUCGAUAGUGAAAGAUGGUUUUGCUAUCACUUAUAGAUGGACCCGCGCCGUAUUAGCUAGUUGGUAAGGUAACGGCUUACCAAGGCGACGAUACGUAGCCGACCUGAGAGGGUGAUCGGCCACACUGGAACUGACACACGGUCCAGACUCCUACGGGAGGCAACAAUAGGGAAUCUUCCGCAAUGGGCAAAAGCCUGACGGAGCAGCGCCACGUGAGUGAUGAAGGUCUUCGGAUCGUAAAACUCUGUUAUUAGGGAAGAACAUACGUGUAAGUAACUAUGCACGUCUUGACGGUACCUAAUCAGAAAGCCACGGCUAACUACGUGCCAGCAGCCGCGGUAAUACGUAGGUGGCAAGCGUUAUCCGGAAUUAUUGGGCGUAAAGCGCGCGUAGGCGGUUUUUUAAGUCUGAUGUGAAAGCCCACGGCUCAACCGUGGAGGGUCAUUGAAAACUGAAAAACUUGAGUGCAGAAGAGGAAAGUGGAAUUCCAUGUGUAGCGGUGAAAUGCGCAGAGAUAUGGAGGAACACCAGUGGCGAAAGCGACUUUCUGGUCUGUAACUGACGCUGAUGUGCGAAAGCGUGGGAUCAAACAAGAUUAGAUACCCUGGUAGUCCACGCCGUAAACGAUGAGUGCUAAGUGUUAUGGGGUUUCCGCCCCUUAGUGCUGCAACUAACGCAUUAAGCACUCCGCCCUGGGGGAGUACGACCGCGACGUUGAAACUCAAAGGAACUGACGGGUACCCGCACAAGCCGGUGGAGCAUGUGAUUAAUUCUAAGCAACGCGAAAACCUACAAAUCUUGACAUCGUUGGACACUCUAGAGAUAGAGCUUCCCUUCGGGGACAAAGUGACAGGUGUGCAUGAUGUCGUCAGCUC
rnacentral:rRNA from 1 species